CCCCCCCAUGCCCUCCUCCUGAGGGCCGCCCCCGCCCCCCGAGCUUCCUGGGUGGGGCCGGGGCGGCUUCAAAACCCCCCCGCCGCCCCAGCCGGUCGCCGCUGCCGCCGCCCUUCGCGCCCCAGGCCGUCCCACUCCCUUCCUCCCGCCGCGGAUCCGCCAGACAGCGAGGCCCCCGGCCGGGGGCAGGGGGGACGCCCCCUCCGGGGCACCCCCCGGCUCGGAGCCGCCCGCGGGGCCGGCCUCAGCCGGGAACGGAGGAAGGAGCCGCCGAGGAGCAGCCCGAGGCCCCAGAGUCUGAGACGAGCCGCCGCCGCCCCCGCCGCCGCCGCCGCUGCCGCUGCGGGGAGGAGGGGGAGGAGGAGCGGGAGGAGGGACGAGCUGGUUGGGAGAAGAGGAAAAAAGUUUUGAGACUUUUCCGCUGCCGCUGGGAGCCAAAGGCGCGGGGACCUUCGCGCGGCGCUGCUCCGCGAGGCAGGACUGGGGGCCCCCAGACCGCAGCUCCACCCUGCACCGCCUCGGACGCUUGCUCCCUUCCUUCCCCCCACACGGCGUUCCCCGGGCGCCCCCAUUCCGGACCAGCCCUCAGGAGCCUCAAACCCGACUCCCGCGAGGACUCGACCCCAGACAUCGGUCGCACCCACCCGCACGGCCCCCAGCUCCCAGCCUCUCUCUUGAGCCCCCGCGCAUCCAAGGACCCUUCUUCUCCUCCGGGAUCCAGGAGACGGGAUCAAUCUCAGACCUGCCUCAGCUUUCCUAUUCAAGACCACCCACCUUUGGUACCAGAUCUCGCUCAUCUCGGUUUUUGCCGUGGGAUACCAAGAACACACCCAUCAGAGCCUCCCCUCCAGCUCAGCUCCGUUCUCCCAGAGGGCCUCAACUCCCCCACUCCGCAGACCCUCCUACCUUUCCUCGGGAGACCCCCCCCUCCAGCCCCUGUAGGGGCGGGGCCUCCCUCUUCCCACCCUAGCCCGGCUCGCGCUCUCGGCUGUGCCGGGGGCGCCGCCUCCCCCAUGCCGCCCUCGGGGCUGCGGCUGCUGCCGCUGCUGCUGCCGCUGCUGUGGCUACUAGUGCUGCCGCCUGGCCGGCCGGCCGCCGGACUGUCCACCUGCAAGACCAUCGACAUGGAGCUGGUGAAGCGAAAGCGCAUCGAGGCCAUCCGAGGCCAGAUUCUGUCCAAGCUUCGGCUCGCCAGCCCCCCGAGCCAGGGGGAGGUGCCGCCCGGUCCGCUGCCCGAGGCCGUACUGGCGCUUUACAACAGUACCCGUGACCGGGUGGCCGGGGAAAGUGCCGAACCUGAGCCUGAGCCAGAGGCGGACUACUACGCCAAGGAGGUCACCCGCGUGCUCAUGGUGGAAAACAGCAACGAAAUCUAUGGGAAGAUCAAGCGUAGCCCACACAGCAUGUAUAUGCUCUUCAACACGUCCGAGCUCCGGGAAGCGGUGCCCGAACCUGUGUUGCUCUCUCGGGCAGAGCUGCGCCUGCUGAGGCUCAAGUUAAAAGUGGAGCAGCACGUGGAGCUGUACCAGAAAUACAGCAAUGAUUCCUGGCGCUACCUCAGCAACCGGCUGCUGGCCCCCAGCGACUCACCAGAGUGGCUGUCCUUUGAUGUCACUGGAGUUGUGCGGCAGUGGCUGACCCACGGAGAGGAAAUAGAGGGCUUUCGCCUCAGUGCCCACUGUUCCUGUGACAGCAAAGAUAACACACUCCAAGUGGACAUUAACGCAGGGUUCAGUUCCGGCCGCCGGGGUGACCUCGCCACCAUUCAUGGCAUGAACCGGCCCUUCCUGCUCCUCAUGGCCACCCCGCUGGAGAGGGCCCAGCACCUGCACAGCCCCCGGCACCGCCGAGCCCUGGACACCAACUACUGCUUCAGCUCCACGGAAAAGAACUGCUGCGUUCGGCAGCUCUACAUUGACUUCCGCAAGGACCUGGGCUGGAAGUGGAUUCACGAACCCAAGGGCUACCACGCCAAUUUCUGCCUGGGGCCCUGCCCCUACAUCUGGAGCCUGGACACGCAGUACAGCAAGGUCUUUGCUCCAAUGUCACCUGCUCAGAGAGCCUUCCCUGGCCACCUCAUCACCCUGCUCCCGCCCCCAACGCCGGGACCCUGCUUUGCCUGUCUUCCUGGCCCCGUCGCCACUAGGUGUUUCGCACCCCCAGCACCUCCAUGCCGCUCCUUGCUGCCUUCCUCGCCAGAGCGGGACUCGCCAGGGCAGGGAACCCGUCCACCGGUUUUGUUCCCUGCUUGAUCCCCAGAGCCUGGACCCAGCAGCGCUGAGCACCUGGUGGCUGAAUGUAGCUCGGCAGCUGUCCCGCGGAGAGGGCAGAGGCUUCGGUCCCCACCACGCCCCAUUCCUCACACCAGGGCCGACUUCCUCGUGGGCACCUGGCUUUAUGACAGCAGUGGUGCCCUUACGGAGGGCUCCCCACAGCCCAGGGACUCUACUCACUGCUUUGUGUGGAACACUGAGAUCAGUCAAUGUAAAAGUGGAUCAGCCAGACUCGCCUCUGGAGCUGGGGAUCCCGGACUGGACCAGCGAUGCUCUGCUACCAGGCGCUGCUGUAGCUGUGGCGAUCAUGACACCACCCCCCGCGCCCCCGCCGCCAUUCUACUGACGAGGCCCUGAGGCUCUACUUGUUCAUAUGUCAUGGGGGCUGGGUGUGAAACCAGGGCCCUCUGCUGCCACACCUGAUGUUCCAGACCACAAGGUGGCCCAGGUAUCUUAUCCCUGGGGUUCUACUGGAGAAAUGAACAACCAGCACUGCAGGGGCACCCAUCAGAGGCCCCUCCACACCAGGCAUUACCCUGCCAGGGAUUACUUCCUGCAGCAUGAGGAAGUCCGGGGUCCUGGGGGACACUUAGGAAGCUUGGGGUAGUGGCAUCCUACUACCAGGCCACCACCACCACCUACCCAAAUGGGAAUGUUUCAGUGUUUCAUCAACAUGGAGCUGAAUGUCAGCCCUGCUCACUCCCCUCCUUCAGGUGAGGGGACUGAGGCUCGGACAUGGACAGAGCUACUCCAAGGUCACCCAUUGAUCUCUGAUCUGAAACCCUUAGGCGUGAGCCCCGAGCGCAUGUCCCGUGGGGUGCUGGGCUGGGGGACUGGGGGGCGGGAGCGGG